GCUAGAGUGGCCGAGUGGUCUAAGGCGCCAGACUUAAGAUCUGGUGGUAAUAACUGCGUGGGUUCGAAUAGAUUAGUCCCACCUCUAGCA
rnacentral:tRNA from 1 species